CCUUUGAUAUAUGUAAUUGGUCACAAAUGGAUUCGUAUCAUCGACCGUGGUGAUGACGUGGAGGAGGCUUGACCUAGAAGGGAUCACUAAUUGUGUUGGCUAGGAUGGCAGAAACUGCCGUUCAUUGCGAACUAAUGUCUUCCGGUUAUUGUUAGUAUUUGAGCCACUGAUGCACUCUGGAUUACUGGACUAAAUGAUUGUUUUUUUUUAUUGCUAGCCACUGAGGCGGGCACGAACUUGUAGGAAUUGAUUGUGUUAUGAGUCUCUGAUUAUCUUUAAUGCAACUGUUUCACGUCUCUGUAUUGAAGGGUGAAGGGACAGGGGAAUGAUCGUAUUAUUUCGAUA